CCAGUUUUGCUCCAAGGACCAAUCUAACACUGCCCAGACUCCUACGGGAGGCUGCAGUCGAGGAUCAUUCGCAAUGCGCGAAAGCGUGACGAUGCGACGCUGCGUGAGGAUGACGGCCUUCGGGUUGUAAACUCCUGUCAUGAGGGAAGAACGACAUGGUUGGUAAUACCGGCCGUGUGUGACGGUAUCUCAAGAGGAAGCCACGGCUAACUCUGUGCCAGCAGCCGCGGUAAUACAGAGGUGGCUAGCGUUGUUCGGAUUUACUGGGCGUAAAGCGUACGUAGGCGGUUCCGUGUGUCGGGUGUGAAAUCCCACGGCUUACCCGUGGAACUGCACCCGAAACUGCGGGGCUAGAGUGCAGGAGGGGAGAGCGGAAUUCUUAGUGUAGCGGUGAAAUGCGUUGAUAUUAAGAAGAACACCGGUGGCGAAGGCGGCUCUCUGGAAUGUUACUGACGCUGAGGUACGAAAGUCGGGGGAGCAAACAGGAUUAGAUACCCUGGUAGUCCCGACCGUAAACGGUGUGAACUUGGUGUAGGGGGUAUUGACCCCCCCUGUGCCGGAGCUAACGCGUUAAGUUCACCGCCUGGGGAGUACGGCCGCAAGGCUAAAACUCAAAGAAAUUGACGGGGGCCCGCACAAGCGGAGGAGCAUGUGGCUUAAUUCGAUGCAACGCGAAGAACCUUACCUGGGCUUGACAUGGCGACCCUUCGGGGGUGGGAGUGAAAGCUCCCUUUACGAUCACAGGUGCUGCAUGGCUGUCGUCAGUUCGUGCCGUGAGGUGUUGGGUUAAGUCCCGCAACGAACGCAACCCUUGUGGCUAGUUGCCAGCGUCGGUGUUAAGCCGACAGGCACUCUAGUCAGACUGCCCGUACAAGCGGGAGGAAGGUGGGGAUGACGUCAAGUCAGUAUGGCCCUUAUGCCCAGGGCUGCACACGUGCUACAAUGGCCGGUACAAUGGGAAGCAAUACCGCGAGGUGGAGCUAAUCCCCAAAGCUGGCCCCAGUUCGGAUUGGAGUCUGCAACUCGACUCCAUGAAGUUGGAUUCGCUAGUAACGGCGUAUCAGCUACGACGCCGUGAAUACGUUCCCGGGCCUUGUACACACCGCCCGUCACAUCAUGAAAGCCGUCUGCACCCGAAGUCGCUGAGCUAACCCGCAAGGGGGGCAAGUGCCGAAGGUGUGGGUGGUGAUUGGGAUGAAGUCGUAACAAGGUA
rnacentral:rRNA from 1 species